rnacentral:misc_RNA from 1 species
CCUAGAGUUGUAGGCUUUGCCUGCUUAUCUCUUACCCAUGUCUUUUGAGUACCUUCGUUUCCUCGGCGGGUCCGGCCCGCCGAUUGGACAAUUUAAACCGUUUGCAGUUGCAAUCAGCGUCUGAAAAAAACUUAAUAGUUUA